rnacentral:rRNA from 1 species
GAUGAACGCUGGCGGCGUGCCUAAUACAUGCAAGUCGAGCGAACAGACGAGGAGCUUGCUCCUCUGACGUUAGCGGCGGACGGGUGAGUCACACGUGGAUAACCUACCUAUAAGACUGGGAUAACUUCGGGAAACCGGAUCUACUACCGGAUAAUAUAUUGAACCGCAUGGUUCAAUAGUGAAAGACGGUUUUGCUGUCACUUAUAGAUGGAUCCGCGCCGCAUUAGCUAGUUGGUAAGGUAACGGCUUACCAAGGCAACGAUGCGUAGCCGACCUGAGAGGGUGAUCGGCCACACUGGAACUGAGACACGGUCCAGACUCCUACGGGAGGCAGCAGUAGGGAAUCUUCCGCAAUGGGCGAAAGCCUGACGGAGCAACGCCGCGUGAGUGAUGAAGGUCUUCGGAUCGUAAAACUCUGUUAUUAGGGAAGAACAAAUGUGUAAGUAACUAUGCACGUCUUGACGGUACCUGAUCAGAAAGCCACGGCUAACUACGUG